rnacentral:rRNA from 1 species
GUGAGGAAUAUUGGUCAAUGGGCGGGAGCCUGAACCAGCCAAGUCGCGUGAAGGAAGAAGGAUCUAUGGUUCGUAAACUUCUUUUGCAGGGGAAUAAAGUGCAGGACGUGUCCUGUUUUGUAUGUACCCUGAGAAUAAGGAUCGGCUAACUCCGUGCCAGCAGCCGCGGUAAUACGGAGGAUCCGAGCGUUAUCCGGAUUUAUUGGGUUUAAAGGGUGCGUAGGUGGUUUGAUAAGUCAGCGGUGAAAGUUUGCAGCUUAACUGUAAAAAUGCCGUUGAAACUGUCGGACUUGAGUGUAAAUGAGGUAGACGGAAUGCGUGGUGUAGCGGUGAAAUGCAUAGAUAUCACGCAGAACUCCGAUUGCGAAGGCAGCUUACUAAGCUACAACUGACACUGAAGCACGAAAGCGUGGGGAUCAAACAGGAUUAGAUACCCGUGUAGUCC